AUUCAACUGACGAGUCCCAAGUAGGACGAAACGUGAGUCCUGGAU
rnacentral:hammerhead_ribozyme from 1 species